rnacentral:rRNA from 1 species
UACGAAGGGGGCUAGCGUUGCUCGGAAUCACUGGGCGUAAAGCGCACGUAGGCGGCUUUUUAAGUCAGGGGUGAAAUCCUGGAGCUCAACUCCAGAACUGCCUUUGAUACUGAGAAGCUUGAGUCCGGGAGAGGGUAGCGGAAUUCCUGGUGUAGAGGUGAAAUUCGUAGAUAUCAGGAGGAACACCGGUGGCGAAGGCGGCUACCUGGACCGGUACUGACGCUGAGACACGAAAGCGUGGGGAGCAAACAGG